UCCGUUUGGCCAUAUGUUUCCUUGUAGAUAUGGAUCAUGCGUGAGUUAUUUCGAACCAUGUAUUUAGUAUUCUAUCAUGGUCGGAUUGGAUGAAGGAUGCUAUCGUGGCAAGUACUAAAUAUGCUGAGCUAGUUUUGGCCGCAUGAUUUUUUGGUCAUGUGCGAGCUAUCCUUGGCCGUAUAUUUAGAUGCCUUGCCAUAGUUGGAUUUUGGCACAAGUUUGUUAGUAUCACUUGUGGAUUAUGGUAAUAUAUAAUUUUAACGUUUUAAUUAUUAUUUCGUUAUGAAUGUCACAUUUAAA
rnacentral:lncRNA from 1 species